GUCCCAGCCGCCGCGGUAAUACGUGAGUGGCAAGCGUUAUCCGGAAUUACUGGGCGUAAAGCGUCUGUAGGGGGUUUGUUAAGUGAGAUGUAAAAGCUCCAGGCUCAACCUGGUGACGGCAUUUCAUACUGGCAAACUAGAAGAAGGUAGAGGCAAGUGGAAUUCCCGGAGUAGGGGUAAUAUCCGUAGAGCCCGGGAGGAACACCAAUAGCGAAGGCAGCUUGCUGGGCCUUUCUUGACCCUCAGAGACGAAAGCGUGGGGAGCGAACCGGAUUAGAUACCCGGGUAGUCCACGCCGUAAACGAUGGAUACUAGGCGUAUGACACAUCGACCUGUUAUGUGCCGAAGCUAACGCAUUAAGUAUCCCGCCUGGGGAGUACGGCCGCAAGGCUAAAACUCAAAGAAAUUGACGGGGAUCCACACAAGCGGUGGAGCAUGUGGUUUAAUUCGAUAAUAAGCGGGGAACCUUACCCAGACUUGACAUCCUUCGAACGCUCUAGAGAUAGAGAAGUGCCCUUUUGGGAACGGAGUGACAGGUGCUGCAUGGUCGUCGUCAGCUCGUGCCGUGAGGUGUACGGUUAAGUCCGAUAACGAGCGCAACCCUCACCAUUAGUUGUAUUUCUCUAGUGGGACUGCCCUUGUCAAAAGGGAGGAAGGUGGGGAUGACGUCAGAUCAGCAUGGCUCUUACGUCUGGGGCUACACACGUGCUACAAUGGGGUGCACAAUGGGCAUGGCCAAGGAGUAAUCCGGAGCGAAUCCCAUCAAAACACCUCUCAGUUCGGAUUGAGGGCUGCAACUCGCCCUCAUGAAGUUGGAAUCGCUAGUAACCGCCAAUCAGCAUGUGGCGGUGAAUGAGUUCCUGGAUCUUGUACACACCGCCCGUCAUGUCAUGGAAGGUGGAGGCACCAGAAGACCCUGAAUUUCUAGUAAGGGGCCAAGGUGAAAUCACUGACUGGGACAAAGUCGUAACAAGGUAACC
rnacentral:rRNA from 1 species